GGUUGUAAAUUAAAAUUUGUUUGGCACUGAACAGGACAUUUGGCACUGAAUGGAGUUCAGAUAACAAGUUUAGAUAUGACACAGAGAAUGAGCACGGUGCACCUGCCAGUGGUGGCUGCAGUGUAAUGAGUUAGAAAAUUGGCUGUCCACGUGCUCUUACGCUUGGCUGCAUACUGGGAAUGCAGAACUCUCACAAGGGGACUCUGAUAACCACAGCUACAUUCACUGAUAUGUGAAAUGGAUAAAUUAAAAAUCUCCAAGAAGAGUCUGAAGUUAUAACUAUAAGGAAAUGUGUUCUUUGCACCCAAAGUUUGUACAUGUU
rnacentral:lncRNA from 1 species